rnacentral:rRNA from 1 species
ACGCUCGACACCUACGGAGGCAGCAGUGGGGAAUAUUGGGCAAUGGGCGCAAGCCUGACCCAGCAACGCCGCGUGAAGGAAGAAGGCCCUCGGGUUGUAAACUUCUUUUGACAGGGACGAAACAAAUGACGGUACCUGUCGAAUAAGCCACGGCUAACUACGUACCAGCAGCCGCGGUAAUCUGAGCGGGCUGGCAAGGC